GAUUGAACGCUGGCGGCAUGCCUUCCACAUGCAAGUCGAACGGCAGCACGGGUGCUUGCCCCUGGUGGCGAGUGGCGAACGGGUGAGUAAUACAUCGGAACAUGUCCUGUAGUGGGGGAUAGCCCGGCGAAAGCCGGAUUAAUACCGCAUACGAUCUACGGAUGAAAGCGGGGGACCUUCGGGCCUCGCGCUAUAGGGUUGGCCGAUGGCUGAUUAGCUAGUUGGUGGGGUAAAGGCCUACCAAGGCGACGAUCAGUAGCUGGUCUGAGAGGACGACCAGCCACACUGGGACUGAGACACGGCCCAGACUCCUACGGGAGGCAGCAGUGGGGAAUUUUGGACAAUGGGCGAAAGCCUGAUCCAGCAAUGCCGCGUGUGUGAAGAAGGCCUUCGGGUUGUAAAGCACUUUUGUCCGGAAAGAAAUCCUUGGCCCUAAUACGGUCGGGGGAUGACGGUACCGGAAGAAUAAGCACCGGCUAACUACGUG
rnacentral:rRNA from 1 species